rnacentral:lncRNA from 1 species
UAUGUCUCCGUCAACUCUCACCGUUCCAAGAUGCUUAUACAGUACAUCAUUUAUAUUUGUUCGUUUGACCAUAUAAUGAACAGAACACACAAACAAGAAACCCAAAUCAUACCAACACUGAAAAGAAGAGACAAUAAGAAGCAUUCUUUCUUUCAACAUCACAGACAUUGGCAACUCUAGGAUGUCUAUACAGAGGGAUAAAAAG